rnacentral:lncRNA from 1 species
ACACUAUGCAUUUUUUUGACAUAUCAGAAACGAUAUUAGAAAUGAUACAAGAAAAUGUAUAGUGUCAUACAGCCUUAAAAGUCAGCCAAAACACAUAAAUAAUCAAAAAUCAUAAUAUAAGAUUUAAAGACCAGGUUAAAGAAAUCCUAAUUAAAUUAGUAGUGUAAAACUAGAAAAACUAAUUUUUUGUGCAAUAAUUAUGUCCGUGCCUCUUUUAAAAAUAUUUUAAGUUGUAUCAAAAGUUAACAAUGAGGUACUGCAUGGUCUUUGGACACCAUUCAAAAGUAUUAGAUUAAUUAACUUCAAGUUCUACUGAGAUCUUUUAAUUAAAGAAAAAUAUGCUUUAUCAAAGAUAAUGGCCUACGUGACAUAAUUCAGGUCUUAUUGAAUGACGAACUUCUAGUCUGAAUUUACAAUUGGAGAAAGAGACAAAAUUAUAUACAAUUUAUGAUUUAGGCAUAUUAGGAUAGGCUUUACCUAAUAAAAUAUUACUUAUGUAUAGUAUUCCCAUAAAAAAAUUAUUUUUUACAUCAAACAAAAGAAGAUCGCUUCUGUCUAUACUUUUAUUUACCUUUUACCUGAACGUGGCAACAUUGGAUUAGAACUGUCAAAUCAAAAGUAACCAAAGUUUCCUCCACGCCUGCAUUAUAUAGCUAUCCUCUUUCCAUCCACAGGUUCAAACGAAAAAUACACGCCUCCGUGUAAUCAAAAUAAAUUGAGACACAUUUUUGACUUCUACGUCCUUAAUUCGUCCUUUACGUCAGUUCCACCCGUUUUCCAAACGAGUGAAGAAGGUUGGUUUGAACAUUUCCAAAAA